UACGUAGGGUGCGAGCGUUGUCCGGAAUUACUGGGCGUAAAGAUCUCGUAGGUGGUUUGUCGCGUUGUUCGUGAAAACCUGAGGCUUAACCUUGGGCGUGCGGGCGAUACGGGCAGACUGGAGUACUGCAGGGGAGACUGGAAUUCCUGGUGUAGCGGUGGAAUGCGCAGAUAUCAGGAGGAACACCGGUGGCGAAGGCGGGUCUCUGGGCCGAUACUGACGCUGAGGAGCGAAAGCGUGGGGAGCGAACAGG
rnacentral:rRNA from 1 species